UGCAUGUGUAAGUAUAAAUAGUUAACUUUGAAACUGCGAAUGGCUCAUUAUAUCAGUUAUAGUUUAUUUGAUGAAGAAUACUAAUUGGAUAACCGUAGUAAUUCUAGAGCUAAUACAUGUAUAAAGUCUUGUAGACUGCAUUUAUUAGAAUGAAAACCAUAGGUUUCGGCCUAUUCGUGAGUAAUAAUAACUAAUCAUAUCGUAUGCUUAUGUAACGAUGUGUCUUUCAAGUUUCUGCCCUAUCAGCUUUCUAUGGUAGUGUAUUGGACUACCAUGGCGGUAACGGGUAACGAAGAAUUUGGGUUCGAUUUCUGAGAGGGAGCCUGAGAGAUGGCUACCACAUCCAAGGAAGGCAGCAGGCGCGUAAAUUACCCAAUCCUGACGCAGGGAGGUAGUGACAAUAAAUCACAAUGCGGAACAAUGUUUUGCAAUUGGAUUGAGAACAACGUACAAACCUUAUCGAUAAACAAUUGGAGGGCAAGUCUGGUGCCAGCAGCCGCGGUAAUUCCAGCUCCAAUAGCGUAUAUUAACGUUGUUGCAGUUAAAAA
rnacentral:rRNA from 1 species